GGGUUGUGAGGUUAAGCGACUAAGCGUACACGGUGGAUGCCCUGGCAGUCAGAGGCGAUGAAGGACGUGCUAAUCUGCGAUAAGCGUCGGUAAGGUGAUAUGAACCGUUAUAACCGGCGAUUUCCGAAUGGGGAAACCCAGUGUGUUUCGACACACUAUCAUUAACUGAAUCCAUAGGUUAAUGAGGCGAACCGGGGGAACUGAAACAUCUAAGUACCCCGAGGAAAAGAAAUCAACCGAGAUUCCCCCAGUAGCGGCGAGCGAACGGGGAGGAGCCCAGAGCCUGAAUCAGUGUGUGUGUUAGUGGAAGCGUCUGGAAAGGCGCGCGAUACAGGGUGACAGCCCCGUACACAAAAAUGCACAUAUUGUGAGCUCGAUGAGUAGGGCGGGACACGUGGUAUCCUGUCUGAAUAUGGGGGGACCAUCCUCCAAGGCUAAAUACUCCUGACUGACCGAUAGUGAACCAGUACCGUGAGGGAAAGGCGAAAAGAACCCCGGCGAGGGGAGUGAAAAAGAACCUGAAACCGUGUACGUACAAGCAGUGGGAGCCUCUUUUAUGGGGUGACUGCGUACCUUUUGUAUAAUGGGUCAGCGACUUAUAUUCUGUAGCAAGGUUAACCGAAUAGGGGAGCCGAAGGGAAACCGAGUCUUAACUGGGCGUUAAGUUGCAGGGUAUAGACCCGAAACCCGGUGAUCUAGCCAUGGGCAGGUUGAAGGUUGGGUAACACUAACUGGAGGACCGAACCGACUAAUGUUGAAAAAUUAGCGGAUGACUUGUGGCUGGGGGUGAAAGGCCAAUCAAACCGGGAGAUAGCUGGUUCUCCCCGAAAGCUAUUUAGGUAGCGCCUCGUGAAUUCAUCUCCGGGGGUAGAGCACUGUUUCGGCAAGGGGGUCAUCCCGACUUACCAACCCGAUGCAAACUGCGAAUACCGGAGAAUGUUAUCACGGGAGACACACGGCGGGUGCUAACGUCCGUCGUGAAGAGGGAAACAACCCAGACCGCCAGCUAAGGUCCCAAAGUCAUGGUUAAGUGGGAAACGAUGUGGGAAGGCCCAGACAGCCAGGAUGUUGGCUUAGAAGCAGCCAUCAUUUAAAGAAAGCGUAAUAGCUCACUGGUCGAGUCGGCCUGCGCGGAAGAUGUAACGGGGCUAAACCAUGCACCGAAGCUGCGGCAGCGACACNNNNNNNNNNNNNNNNNNNNNNNNNNNNNNNNNNNNNNNNNNNNNNNNNNNNNNNNNNNNNNNNNNNNNNNNNNNNNNNNNNNNNNNNNNNNNNNNGUAUGCUGGAGGUAUCAGAAGUGCGAAUGCUGACAUAAGUAACGAUAAAGCGGGUGAAAAGCCCGCUCGCCGGAAGACCAAGGGUUCCUGUCCAACGUUAAUCGGGGCAGGGUGAGUCGACCCCUAAGGCGAGGCCGAAAGGCGUAGUCGAUGGGAAACAGGUUAAUAUUCCUGUACUUGGUGUUACUGCGAAGGGGGGACGGAGAAGGCUAUGUUGGCCGGGCGACGGUUGUCCCGGUUUAAGCGUGUAGGCUGGUUUUCCAGGCAAAUCCGGAAAAUCAAGGCUGAGGCGUGAUGACGAGGCACUACGGUGCUGAAGCAACAAAUGCCCUGCUUCCAGGAAAAGCCUCUAAGCAUCAGGUAACAUCAAAUCGUACCCCAAACCGACACAGGUGGUCAGGUAGAGAAUACCAAGGCGCUUGAGAGAACUCGGGUGAAGGAACUAGGCAAAAUGGUGCCGUAACUUCGGGAGAAGGCACGCUGAUAUGUAGGUGAAGUCCCUCGCGGAUGGAGCUGAAAUCAGUCGAAGAUACCAGCUGGCUGCAACUGUUUAUUAAAAACACAGCACUGUGCAAACACGAAAGUGGACGUAUACGGUGUGACGCCUGCCCGGUGCCGGAAGGUUAAUUGAUGGGGUCAGCGCAAGCGAAGCUCUUGAUCGAAGCCCCGGUAAACGGCGGCCGUAACUAUAACGGUCCUAAGGUAGCGAAAUUCCUUGUCGGGUAAGUUCCGACCUGCACGAAUGGCGUAAUGAUGGCCAGGCUGUCUCCACCCGAGACUCAGUGAAAUUGAACUCGCUGUGAAGAUGCAGUGUACCCGCGGCAAGACGGAAAGACCCCGUGAACCUUUACUAUAGCUUGACACUGAACAUUGAGCCUUGAUGUGUAGGAUAGGUGGGAGGCUUAGAAGUGUGGACGCCAGUCUGCAUGGAGCCGACCUUGAAAUACCACCCUUUAAUGUUUGAUGUUCUAACGUUGACCCGUGAUCCGGGUUGCGGACAGUGUCUGGUGGGUAGUUUGACUGGGGCGGUCUCCUCCUAAAGAGUAACGGAGGAGCACGAAGGUUGGCUAAUCCUGGUCGGACAUCAGGAGGUUAGUGCAAUGGCAUAAGCCAGCUUGACUGCGAGCGUGACGGCGCGAGCAGGUGCGAAAGCAGGUCAUAGUGAUCCGGUGGUUCUGAAUGGAAGGGCCAUCGCUCAACGGAUAAAAGGUACUCCGGGGAUAACAGGCUGAUACCGCCCAAGAGUUCAUAUCGACGGCGGUGUUUGGCACCUCGAUGUCGGCUCAUCACAUCCUGGGGCUGAAGUAGGUCCCAAGGGUAUGGCUGUUCGCCAUUUAAAGUGGUACGCGAGCUGGGUUUAGAACGUCGUGAGACAGUUCGGUCCCUAUCUGCCGUGGGCGCUGGAGAACUGAGGGGGGCUGCUCCUAGUACGAGAGGACCGGAGUGGACGCAUCACUGGUGUUCGGGUUGUCAUGCCAAUGGCACUGCCCGGUAGCUAAAUGCGGAAGAGAUAAGUGCUGAAAGCAUCUAAGCACGAAACUUGCCCCGAGAUGAGUUCUCCCUGACUCCUUGAGAGUCCUGAAGGAACGUUGAAGACGACGACGUUGAUAGGCCGGGUGUGUAAGCGCAGCGAUGCGUUGAGCUAACCGGUACUAAUGAACCGUGAGGCUUAACCUUACAACGCCGAAGCUGUU
rnacentral:rRNA from 1 species